UACGUAGGCAGCGAGCGUUGUUCGGAGUUACUGGGCGUAAAGGGUGUGUAGGCGGUUGUUUAAGUUUGGUGUGAAAUCUCCCGGCUCAACUGGGAGGGUGCGCCGAAUACUGAAUGACUAGAGUGCGGGAGAGGAAAGUGGAAUUCCUGGUGUAGCGGUGAAAUGCGUAGAUAUCAGGAGGAACACCGGUGGUGUAGACGGCUUUCUGGACCGUAACUGGACGCUGAGACGCGAAAGCGUGGGGAGCAAACAGG
rnacentral:rRNA from 1 species